GAUCAUGGCUCAGGAUAAACGCUGGCGGCGCACAUAAGACAUGCAAGUCGAACGAACUUAACCAUUAGUUUACUAUUGGAGCGGUUAGUGGCGGACUGGUGAGUAACACGUAAGCAACCUGCCUAUCAGAGGGGAACAACAGGUUAGAAAUGACUGCUAAUACCGCAUAUGCCUUAGGAUCACAUGGUUCAAAAGGGAAAGGAGCAAUCCGCUGAUAGAUGGGCUUGCGU
rnacentral:rRNA from 1 species